AAUUCAAAGAGUUUGAUCCUGGCUCAGGACGAACGCUGGCGGCGCGCCUAACACAUGCAAGUCGAACGGGGGACGGCAAAACACUGUGUGUUUUGCAAUUAACAAUUAACAAUGAACAAUGUACAAUUAUGGAGUUCGCUGCGCGAACGGAUUUUAGAAAUCGUCGCGAAGCGACACCAAAAUUGUCAAUUGUAAAUUGUCAAUUGUAAAUUGUGAGGUAAAACACAGAGUGUUUUGCCGAACCUAGUGGCGAACGGGUGAGUAACACGUGAGCAACCUGCCUCUAAGUGGGGGACAACUCCGAGAAAUCGGGGCUAAUACCGCAUGAUACAUUCUGAGGGCAUCCUCGGAAUGUCAAAGAUUUAUCGCUUAGAGAUGGGCUCGCGUCCAAUUAGCUUGUUGGUGAGGUAACUGCUCACCAAGGCGACGAUUGGUAGCCGGACUGAGAGGUUGAACGGCCACAUUGGGACUGAGACACGGCCCAGACUCCUACGGGAGGCAGCAGUGGGGGAUAUUG
rnacentral:rRNA from 1 species